rnacentral:rRNA from 1 species
UACGUAGGGAGCAAGCGUUGUCCGGAAUCAUUGGGCGUAAAGAGCGCGUAGGUGGCUUUAUAAGUCCGUUGUGAAAGUCAAAGGCUCAACCUUUGAAAGCCGAUGGAUACUGUGAAGCUAGAGUACGGAAGAGGCGAGUGGAAUUCCUGGUGUAGCGGUGAAAUGCGCAGAUAUCAGGAGGAACACCUGCGGCGAAGGCGGGUUGCUGGGCCGACACUGACGCUGAGGCGCGAAAGCUAGGGGAGCGAACGGG